CUAACUUUUGAGGGAGAUGGAUCC
rnacentral:siRNA from 1 species